GACUCUAGUCUGGCGCUGCGAAGACAUGAGAGGUGUAGAAUAAGUGGGAGGCUAGGUGUGCGCUCGGUGGUGCGGGGUGACCUGCCCACCGGUGAAAUACCUCUACUCUGAUCAUUUUUUCCACUUACCCGGUGAGGUGGGGGGGUGAGCCCCAAGGGGGGCUCUCGCUUCUGGUGCCAAGCGCCCAGCACAGGCCAGGCACGACCCGCUCCGGGGACAGUGGCAGGUGGGGAGUUUGCCUGGGGCGGUACACCCAUCAAAGCCUAACGCAGGCAUCUAAGGCGAGCUCAGGGAGGACGGAAACCUCCCGCGGAGCAGAAGGGCAAAAGCUCACUUGAUCUUGAUUUUUUGGUACGAAUACAGAACGUGAAAGCAGGGCCUCACCAUCCUUCUGGCUUUUGGGGUUUGAAGUAGGAGGUUAGAA
rnacentral:ncRNA from 1 species